GGUUGGCAAGAAUGAUGAUUCAAUUAGAUGUGUGAAAGGAAAAUUCCUUUUUGAACUCACUUUUUUGAGGCAUAUUUAUUUGUCUGACUUGCUUCCU